ACAAUUGAAGAAAUCAUCUACAAAGUAGCUCAGGAAAAGUCUAUACUUGGAAAAGAUUUGACGAAUGAUGAAGAAGAUGAUGGUGAAGACAAAAAAACUAUCCUAAAUAUACUUCGAAGUGCUUUGGACGUUUGAAUGAAAUUCGGACUUUGGAAUUUCUUGUGAAUGGACUACUCUCAGUAAAUAUCUGUGAUACAAUCAAUAUUAUUCUCACAAUAAUACGUUUAUCUUGGUUCAUUUUUACAAGUUUAAAUACCGUAUAUUUUUCAACAAUUAAAAUCUAAGUUGACAGCUUUAUAAUAAUGAUACUUUUGCAUUUCUAAGAAGUGUCUCUUUUUAUAGGUAAUCGCGAAUUAUUCAAAAAAUUAAGGUUAAACCUGAAUACAUCAAUUUUAUUCUCACCCUCAUGCGACUUUUUAUGGUAGACUUAUAAAAUUCUCGUUAUUACGAAAUUUAGCAUUUUAGUCUAACCGAACUCUUGUUAAUGCCGUCGAUCGUAUUUCAAUUUUGUGUAGCUUAUAUUAUAGUAUUGAAACUAGAUUCUUUACUAUGUUCCACAAUAGAAGGUUUUUCUCUGGCCAGGCAUUUUUUAUUUUAUUUUUUUUUUUUUUUUGAAACUUGAAUACUGACUAUUUGGAAUUAACAGUCUACAUCUGUAGCAGUUAGUUCCUAAAACCGUUUUGGAAUGUUGAACAAGAUACUUAUCAAAAUAGUUUGAACAUAAGAACACACAAUAAAUCUGUGUCUUAAUUUAUAACUUAAGUCAUCUCUUAUAAAUUAUGAUAACUUGUAAAUAUUUUCAUUGAUUUUCUUAGCUUAUUUGAAGGCCAUCAUGAUAUUUGAUAUCAAAUUAUUUUGUUAUUGUAUCAUUGAUGGAGUAACGAAAAAGAAACAAAAAAUCAUCAUGAUUGGAUAUAAAAAUAUUUUUCCAUUGAGACAGUUUAAAAUAAUACUUAGUUCCAAAGCUUAUAAAUAACGUCAACUUCACUUUUUAACCAUUCCUUCAAUAGUAGCAAAUUUAUCAAAUAAUACUUUUUGAACAUAAUUUUUGUACCGUAAUGCACAAUAUUUAUAUUUGUUUUAUAUUAAUUCGAUUAUUCUAAUGAUGUGUAUGUUUUUAUUGAAAAAUGUAUGUUUUGGAGAUUAUACAUGAAUAAAAAUAUAAUGUUUCGUACUAUUCAGUAAA